CCGCGCCGCUACCGCGGGGCCUGCGCCAGGCCUCGCUACGCUAGCGCCGUGUACACUGUCGGAUUUCUCACAGGCUGUCACAGCGUUCGUCGAUUUUCGUCGACAAUCUGAACUCAUGUUGGUUGGAUUUAGAUAUCAAUCAUCAUGUCUUCCACAACUAAGAAGCGUGGCAAGAAGUUACAGACUUUUAAAGAAGAAAUGGAAAUGCAUCGUUCCUUCAAAGAAAAGCCUGAAUCAUGCUAGGUGCACGAUAUGUGCAUCAGAUUUCAACAUUGGACAUGGCGGGGCAAACCUUUCAACAGAACACUUUCAAUGUGGAGUUGACAGCAACUAAUGAGCUUACCAUGCUUACAGGUGCAAGGACGCUGCAAAAGACUAUAGACCUCUAGUAACAUAUCAAGACAUUUUGUCAUGAGUUCAUCCAGUCUUUCAGUAGAAUACUUUCAAUAUGGAGUUACAUGCACAUGUAACACCAACUAAUGAACAGGCGACUGGAGUGCGUCCAUACACAGGGAACAUUGGAGCAGAUGAUGUUGAUGGUGUAGACAUGGCUUACAGGGUAGUGGCUGAUCAUAUUCGCACAUUGACCAUAGCUCUCUUGGACGGAAGCUGGCCAGAUAAUGUUGGAAGAGGAGCGUAUGAAGCACUCAACGUCAAGCAUGAAAAUCUGUCGCUGAUUCAACCCCGAUUCGUGGUGCCCCUGCCUCCUCUUCAACCAGCGGUACUGAAGAUCAUCUGGAGUAUUAUGUUCAUGAGUGUGGAGACAUCUUAAACCAUCAGCAUGAAGCUACCGGCAGACUAAACAGACGCUAAACACAUUAUGGAGCAUGUCUUUGCACAGGUGUCGGAAUUCAAGAAACUCAACCAAGCGACUGGAGUGCGUCUAUACACAGGGAACGUUGGAGCAGAUGAUGUUGAUGGUGUAGACAUGGCUUACAGGGUAGUGGCUGAUCAUAUUCGCACAUUGACCAUAGCUCUCUUGGACGGAAGCUGGCCAGAUAAUGUUGGAAGAGGAGCGUAUGAAGCACUCAACGUCAAGCAUGAAAAUCUGUCGCUGAUUCAACCCCGAUUCGUGGUGCCCCUGCCUCCUCUUCAACCAGCGGUACUGAAGAUCAUCUGGAGUAUUAUGUUCAUGAGUGUGGAGACAUCUUAAACCAUCAGCAUGAAGCUACCGGCACACUCAACAGACGCUAAACACAUUAUGGAGCAUGUCUUUGCACAGGUGUCGGAAUUCAAGAAACUCAACCAAGCGACUGGAGUGCGUCUAUACACAGGGAACGUUGGAGCAGAUGAUGUUGAUGGUGUAGACAUGGCUUACAGGGUAGUGGCUGAUCAUAUUCGCACAUUGACCAUAGCUCUCUUGGACGGAAGCUGGCCAGAUAAUGUUGGAAGAGGAGCGUAUGAAGCACUCAACGUCAAGCAUGAAAAUCUGUCGCUGAUUCAACCCCGAUUCGUGGUGCCCCUGCCUCCUCUUCAACCAGCGGUACUGAAGAUCAUCUGGAGUAUUAUGUUCAUGAGUGUGGAGACAUCUUAAACCAUCAGCAUGAAGCUACCGGCAGACUCAACAGACGCUAAACACAUUAUGGAGCAUGUCUUUGCACAGGUGUCGGAAUUCAAGAAACUCAACCAAGCGACUGGAGUGCGUCUAUACACAGGGAACGUUGGAGCAGAUGAUGUUGAUGGUGUAGACAUGGCUUACAGGGUAGUGGCUGAUCAUAUUCGCACAUUGACCAUAGCUCUCUUGGACGGAAGCUGGCCAGAUAAUGUUGGAAGAGGAGCGUAUGAAGCACUCAACGUCAAGCAUGAAAAUCUGUCGCUGAUUCAACCCCGAUUCGUGGUGCCCCUGCCUCCUCUUCAACCAGCGGUACUGAAGAUCAUCUGGAGUAUUAUGUUCAUGAGUGUGGAGACAUCUUAAACCAUCAGCAUGAAGCUACCGGCAGACUCAACAGACGCUAAACACAUUAUGGAGCAUGUCUUUGCACAGGUGUCGGAAUUCAAGAAACUCAACCAAGCGACUGGAGUGCGUCUAUACACAGGGAACGUUGGAGCAGAUGAUGUUGAUGGUGUAGACAUGGCUUACAGGGUAGUGGCUGAUCAUAUUCGCACAUUGACCAUAGCUCUCUUGGACGGAAGCUGGCCAGAUAAUGUUGGAAGAGGAGCGUAUGAAGCACUCAACGUCAAGCAUGAAAAUCUGUCGCUGAUUCAACCCCGAUUCGUGGUGCCCCUGCCUCCUCUUCAACCAGCGGUACUGAAGAUCAUCUGGAGUAUUAUGUUCAUGAGUGUGGAGACAUCUUAAACCAUCAGCAUGAAGCUACCGGCAGACUCAACAGACGCUAAACACAUUAUGGAGCAUGUCUUUGCACAGGUGUCGGAAUUCAAGAAACUCAACCAAGCGACUGGAGUGCGUCUAUACACAGGGAACGUUGGAGCAGAUGAUGUUGAUGGUGUAGACAUGGCUUACAGGGUAGUGGCUGAUCAUAUUCGCACAUUGACCAUAGCUCUCUUGGACGGAAGCUGGCCAGAUAAUGUUGGAAGAGGAGCGUAUGAAGCACUCAACGUCAAGCAUGAAAAUCUGUCGCUGAUUCAACCCCGAUUCGUGGUGCCCCUGCCUCCUCUUCAACCAGCGGUACUGAAGAUCAUCUGGAGUAUUAUGUUCAUGAGUGUGGAGACAUCUUAAACCAUCAGCAUGAAGCUACCGGCAGACUCAACAGACGCUAAACACAUUAUGGAGCAUGUCUUUGCACAGGUGUCGGAAUUCAAGAAACUCAACCAAGCGACUGGAGUGCGUCUAUACACAGGGAACGUUGGAGCAGAUGAUGUUGAUGGUGUAGACAUGGCUUACAGGGUAGUGGCUGAUCAUAUUCGCACAUUGACCAUAGCUCUCUUGGACGGAAGCUGGCCAGAUAAUGUUGGAAGAGGAGCGUAUGAAGCACUCAACGUCAAGCAUGAAAAUCUGUCGCUGAUUCAACCCCGAUUCGUGGUGCCCCUGCCUCCUCUUCAACCAGCGGUACUGAAGAUCAUCUGGAGUAUUAUGUUCAUGAGUGUGGAGACAUCUUAAACCAUCAGCAUGAAGCUACCGGCAGACUCAACAGACGCUAAACACAUUAUGGAGCAUGUCUUUGCACAGGUGUCGGAAUUCAAGAAACUCAACCAAGCGACUGGAGUGCGUCUAUACACAGGGAACGUUGGAGCAGAUGAUGUUGAUGGUGUAGACAUGGCUUACAGGGUAGUGGCUGAUCAUAUUCGCACAUUGACCAUAGCUCUCUUGGACGGAAGCUGGCCAGAUAAUGUUGGAAGAGGAGCGUAUGAAGCACUCACCUUCAAGCAUGAAAAUCUGUCGCUGAUUCAACCCCGAUUCGUGGUGCCCCUGCCUCCUCUUCAACCAGCGGUACUGAAGAUCAUCUGGAGUAUUAUGUUCAUGAGUGUGGAGACAUCUUAAACCAUCAGCAUGAAGCUACCGGCAGACUCAACAGACGCUAAACACAUUAUGGAGCAUGUCUUUGCACAGGUGUCGGAAUUCAAGAAACUCAACCAAGCGACUGGAGUGCGUCUAUACACAGGGAACGUUGGAGCAGAUGAUGUUGAUGGUGUAGACAUGGCUUACAGGGUAGUGGCUGAUCAUAUUCGCACAUUGACCAUAGCUCUCUAGGACGGAAGCUGGCCAGAUAAAGUUGGAAGAGGGUCAUGAAAUUGUACACAACUUUGUGAGAUAUGCAACUUUGCGUGAACAACAAGCACUCCCCCCUAAACAUAGGUAGGCUGUCCGCCGAAACUCCAGGCCUGGCAUUAGGCCUCUGCCUGGUAUGACUCUGACUGUGAAGCAGAUAGAUCUUAUAUCAAUUAGUCUACUUGUUAGAUGCCAAAAAGAAUAAUUGCAAUAAGCCAUAAGGUAAGUAGGACUACAAUUUAUUGUGUUAUUGUGCUAAUACUGAAUGCCCAUGAUAUCGCAGCUUCGGACGUCGGUACGUACAGUAUCGGCAUGUUCAAGAUUCACCCCCUUAUGGCUGUUGUUCUAGGCUUAUUUUUUGUAUUUCUCAUUUCUUGGCAUUGAUACUGCACAUACAGAAUGCAAAGACAUGCACGAUAAUAAAGAGAGCAAUUAUUGUGCAAAUACUGAAUCUCCAUGAUAUUGCAGCGUCGGUACAGCACCAGCAUGUUUAAGAUUCACCCCCCUUAUGUUUUGUAUUUCUCAUUUGUUGGCAUUGUCACUUCACAUAUCAAAUGCAAAGACAUGUACGAUAAUAAAGAUAGCUUUCCUGACCUAGUAUUUGCAAGGAAAAAUUCAAAAAAGGCAUAUGAAGGCUACGUUAAUGCGCGAAUACAGAAUGUUCAUGUUCAGCAUCCGUAUAGCAUCGACAUGUUGAAGAUCCAGCCCCCCCUUAUUUUUUGUAUGUCGCAUUUGUUGGCAUUGACAUUUACACAUGAAAUGUAAAGACAUAAAACAGCCGUCCUGACCUAGCAUAUACAAGGAAAAAUUCAAAAAAGGUCUCUGAUUGCUGCGUUAUGGUGCAUAAAAGUUGUCAGCGUCACUAAACAUAGGACAUUUUCUAAUCCCCCCCCCCUCUUCCCCCUUAUUGUGCUCCAAUUCUUUGUUCUACCCAAUUUGAUGUUUCUAGUGGUCAAUUCAUUAGAAAUGAGUGGAGCCUAAGCCUACUACUUAGGCCAAAGCUAAGUAGGCCUAGCAGAAACUCACGCCGUUCCGAUUGAGUACAUAUAACGGAGUGACACCUGAAAUCAGAGUAAUCACGUGAUCGGAAUAUUUUACCUCGCCACCAAAAUCCCAGGUGGACCUAGCAGUCCCACAUUACUUUGCGGUGCCUUAGGCAUGAUCGAUGCAAACUUAUUCACAACCUUUUAACCCACUAAAUCGGAGCAGUGUAUUUAUCCGGAUAAUACGCGUAGAUAGACACUGCCCAUUCCCUGGUACUAUAUGCUAUUUUCCGGAAAACAAAUGAACCGGAUAAUUUCAGUAAAACUAAUAGAAACAUGCUGUUUGUGUUCCUUCUUUCUAUCACAAUCUCUUUCUUUCAUCGUGUCUUCAUUUCCUUCUCAAUUGUCAUUGUCCCUUAUAUUACAUUCUCUAUCUCAAAUGUCACUUUUCCUCAUAUUGUUUUCCUCAGAAAAUUCAUGCAAAGGACCUGGAAAAUCUGCAGAAAUAAACCCUAGGACUACUUUGACCAACGGAGGUUGGUGGUUUGGCAGUUGAAGGCUUAAGAAACUUGCUGACCAUCCUGGGUACAACCCCAACAGUCAAUGCCUCUAGCUACGACAGGCACAUAGCCACUUUUAAAUCGAUAUCUCAAGAGACCAGCGAGGAACACAUGAAGAGGGCGGCGGUAUGCCUACAACAAAGGGCAAUGGACAAGGACCCGACCAUCAGGAAAAAUGACCGUGUGGACAUCACUUCUACUACCAACCUAUCCAUUCUUCUUUACUACUUCUACUACCUCCACUACCACCCUAUCCGUUCUCCCUUGCUCCCCUCCCUCUUUCAUUCUCGCCAGAUCUGGCAAUCAUUAAAUAUCUUAAUAUUUCUUACCCCUCCCUCAUCUGUCUUUCUUUUCUCCCUCCUGAAUGGACAAUGCUCUUCCUUACUUUUAUUACUACCUCUGCUACCACCUUACUCUACAACCUUACCUCUGCUCUUCCUUACUACUUCUACUUCCACUUUCCCUCAUCAUGUUCCCUCUUUCUAUAACCAUCUCCACGUUCUCUGUCUUUAUUAUCACCCCCCCCCCUUUUUUUAUUGCAUUCUCUAUCUCAACUGCCACUUUCCAUCAUAUUGGUUUCACUCACUAUCUCAAUUUCAACUUUCCCUGUGUUUUUGUUCUCUCUCUCUCUCUCUCUCAAGUGCA